AAGUCGUAACAAGGUCUCCGUAGGUGAACCUGCGGAGGGAUCAUUAACACGUUUUAACAACGUAUUAUUAACAAAUCAACCGCGCGAAUUAACUGAAUCAAAACUUUACCCCGACCUGCUAGAUUGAACGUCUGCUUGGAAUGCACGGAGUGAUGAGUAUGUCUAUAUGUGUAGCUUGCUAUGCAUAUCUUCAUGCGGUGUCUCCAAGCUGGUAUUGCAGUAUGCACAUUUCGGUGUGUGUGUUGACAGUACAGGACCUCUUUCUAAUAGGCUUAUAAACUUUUAGUUCCCUUCAUCGCUGGAACGACAAAACCCCUUUCACCACUUAUAAACAACUUGACUGAUAGCUUCUCAUGUUUAUGGCGAAAGCCGUAAUAAUGAUGGCACAAACUAAUCAAAUAUCUAAGCACAACUCUUAGCAACGGAUAUCUUGGUUCUC
rnacentral:misc_RNA from 1 species